rnacentral:lncRNA from 1 species
CUUUCUGAUGUUUGUUAUGUCUGGUGUUGUUAAUGAAAUAACAUAUGCUCUGGCCACCAUUAUAUAGGAGAUGACCUUGGAGGAGCAGCGGAAAGCAAUACUCGCGCUAAAGACUGAGAAGAGAAAACUAGUUGGAUCUAAAGAAAAUUCAGUGUACAAAUGCUAAAUGUAAUGUUUGGAUCAUAUUGGGGUCUACUGAUUGGAUCAUAUGUUCAGAUCAGUACUAAACGUGGUACUGUACUUUGCAAAUGCUAGAGUGGUAUUUCCUACUUGCAAAACAAAAUUCAGUUUAGCAUGUAAUGUUUGGAUCAUAAGUUUACAAAUGUUGAUUCUGAACUUCUGAAUGUUGAUUCUGAACUGCCAAAUGUCUAAAAUUCUGAGAUUUCUUGCAUACUGCAAAUGUCAGCGUGUGACAAUAUAUUGUACCUAUGAUAUAGUUGCUUUCUCAUGCCUGUAGUUACCAAGGUUUAUAGUUUUUUGGUUACAAAAGAUGUCUAGUCUUCAACAUGUAGUUGGUCUCUACAUUCUUUUAGUCACCAAGCCUUGGCUGGUCACUUGAUAUCUCUAGCCACUAACCAUGUACAUGGUCGCUGUACAUUUUUAGCAACCAAGUCGUCCAUGGUCUCUAGAUGUCAUCAGUCACCAAGUCUCCCUUGGUCCCUAGAUGCCAUUAGUCACCAGAUUUGGUUGGUAGCUAUUGGUAUGACAUUUAGUGACCAGGGUUCUCAAUGUUGGUCGCUCAAUAUCUAUAGCGACUAGACUAUAGCCACCACGAAGCGACCAAGUAGUGUUGGUACCAAUAGACCACUAGCCACCAAUUUUGUACCUUUAGCAACCGAUCACCUUGGUGGCUAAAACUCAUGUCUCUAGUAGUGAUAUUGAUAUAUAAAGUUCAAGAUCAUUUGUUGUUUGUCUUCUGAUCAGCACUAUUAAUUACAAGCUAGUUUAAGACGAAGGUGAUGUUGCUAAACCCUGCCCUAGCUCUCCCUCUAAUAUAACCUACCCCCCCCCCUCUCUCUCUCACCUCGCUCUAGCUCAAGCCGUAUCAAGGAAGAAGAAAGCAUGAGGAGAAGGGGGACACGGUGGAGUUCUGCCGCACGAACGCCCGCCGCACAGACGGCAUUGUUUUCCCUCGAGCACGAACUCGAGCCCACUCCAUGUUACAACGGCCAUCGCGUGGCUUUAUACACGAGCCAGCGCACCAGGCACCAACCCACGCCUCCACUCCCUCUCGAUCGCUCACGCUUCGCCCGCUCUGCUCGUGCCCGCGUCGCGCUCCGACGCGCGCGGCCCACGGCGAGCUCCAACGGCAGCACCCUCGAUAACGCCACGCGACUCGCCAACAACCUAGACCUAGUCCCACGCACACGGUGCACAUCGGCACGCUUGGGUUACAUACAUAACGUACAUGAUUUGAAUUCAGUCGAGCGUUGACAUUGUAUGCAGAGAUUCUAACCUAUAAGGAUGCUAGCCGACCCUCCUCCACGGAGCUCCUCCCGUGUGCAUCGCUCAUGGGCGUCGGAUGGGCUUUGACUUUCUCUGCUGCUGGCGAUUGGAUCGGUUGACUGCGUGGUAAUAAAUUUGACCCGUGCUUGUUUUUCACGUUUGAGUGACUUGUGGCCCUUCUUGGGUGAGGUUCGCCUGGUCCUUCGUGGGUGAAUUGGAUCGUUGAUAAAAGUCAACCUAUCCGGUUGCUACGCAUGGUGGUCGAGGAAAGGCGGAGACAACCGGACGUGCGACGAUGUCAAAUUGUUUGUCUCUUGCACAGUGCGUUCUUUUCCCCCAGUUCCCACAGCCGCCUCCCACACCCCUCUCCUUCCUUCCUUCCUCGCCUGUCACCCGCCACAGCUGCCGCACCCCUCCAUCUCUUUCCUCUCGCAUCCUCCCGCGUCGAACGCCGCUGGGCUCCUCCCUAUCUCGUCUCGGAUACAGGGUAGCAGAGAGGAGGAAGGGAGGUAGAACGACGGGGAAGGGGAUGAACAGCAGAGAGGAGGAAGGGAGGUAGAGGAACGACGGGGAAGGGGAUGGACAGGAGCUUCAUGCCCAAAAUCCAGUCGCCCCAGGCCGUGCCUACACGAGCAGCGCCGCAGGUAGAUGCUUCCCCGCCCAACGAGGAUGGCGAGGUAGGUGUUCACAAUGGCAGCCCGAGGUCGUCAGAUCUGUCACCAUCACCGUUCUUUUGUCGAGGCCGCCGUCGUUCACGUGUUCCUCCUCACCCCCACGGCUAGACGCUAGCGAGGCCAGCCUCCCCUCCAAGCGCAGGUACUUCCUCGCUCCUUUCCGUGCUCUCUCUCUCUCUCUCUCUCUCCCUUGAUCUAUCUCUCUGUUGUACACGGAAGCAAAUUUGACCAAUUCUCAGUCUAGAUUUGACCUAUUCCAGUUCUGAGCCUUACUUGUUCAUACGAAAACAUGUUUUAGAGCCUAUGCACCCGGGUACUCCUUAUCCAACCACUCAUUCCUGCAUCACGAUUCGUGCAAAUAAUUUUUUCUUUCUUGUUUCUCUCAUAUAGAACAUGUAUUUGUACUUCAACUUUGCAGCACAACAAAGCUUUUUAUGUAGAAUGUGGGAUAAAACUUACAGAUUUUUUGGUCCAACAUAAAUAUACAAAAUGAGAUUUAUUUGAUUAAAAAAUCUUAUUUUUCAUAUUUAUGUCGGACAAAAAAAUCUGAAAGUUUUAUCUCACAUUCUAGUUACAAAGUUAUGUUGUACUGCAAAGUUUGAAGUUCAAGACAUGUUUUAUAUGAGAGGAACAAAAAAGAGAAAAUUCCAUGUAAUAAGGUAGUUGUGUAGCACAUAUCUCAAAGCAACAUUGGAGUGUUAGGAUAGUGAAGCCCAGGUGCAUAAGCUCACAAAAUCUGCAUUCCUUGUUCAUAUGGUUUCAAUUGCCGUCUCUCAUGUGACGUUGAGAAAAUCACAUGUAUAUGCGUAUUUUUUCCUCUGUGCCCUGAUUUAUCUUAGUCCUUAUGUCAAAGAUACCGGAUGUAGUAACAGAUCGACGUAGUAACAAAUGCAAAGAGAAUGGACCUCCUCUUGAUUAGCUCAAGAGGACCUGUAUAGUGGCUUCAUGUAAUUUCUUGAUUUCCCAUAGUGAUUUCGCUGGCAAUUUGUUAGUGUAUUUCUAGCUAAAAUUGCAUGUAUAUCUUACAAAUUUACAUUGCAACAAAUUAACAAGGAGUAUAGAAGCAUUUGUAUUUAUCUAACAUGUUUGUAUGGUAUGUUUCAAAAAGCUCAAGGUUAGAUAUGUAGUGUUGUAUGAGGCUAUAUUAGGAUGGAAGACAAUUAUUGUUAAAAUAUUGUUUGAAUUUCCUUCGUUUUGUAAACGGCAAUACAAGCUAUGUUUGCGCCAUGAUUCUAUUACAAUUUUUUUAACAACUGACAAUUAACAAUUAACGACACAUCAAAUGUUCCGUAUUGAAAUGGAUCAUUUUGUCAGGUUGGAUUUAGUAGGUCAUAAUGGUUUUAUUCUACGACAGGAUUAAUUUUGUUUAUACUGUAACCUGUUCAAGGAUUGACGAGUUUUGGAACCCUACGAUCUUUGCACACUAAGGUUCAGCUGUGUUCUUUGUGAAAUAUACGUCCUGCAAGUCUCAUGUGUCUUGCGUUGUUUUCGCUUUCCAAGCUACAGGGUUUUGAUAUACUCAAAAUGAGAUUCUUUAUAUGGUAUUCGAUUCCUCUUGCUAUGACCAGAACGGGAAAUGUCUUACGGUGGCAAUAUGCUCUUCUAUGCUGUCUGAUUGACUCUUUUUAUUAGCAUGGAGAAUAACUUUUACUUCACUAAGGUUAGUUUCUGUUCACAUUGCUUUGUAUAUAAAAAAGGAUUGUUGUGCUUAAAAGGUUUAUGACAUUUUGGCGAAACAUUAUUUAGUAAAAAAGUAUGCAGAGGUGAACUUUAGAGGUGAAAUGUUGUGGAUGUUCUGACAGAGAGAUUCUUGGACUAACUUUAGCGUCACACCUUAUUCAAUAUCUGGGUAUUGGGUUCUACUAAUUGUCAGUGCCUUAAUUUUUGUUUUUCUCCCAAUGCCAUGUGAUAUUUACUGGACUAUAAUUCACAUGCUUGCAAGUCGUUGUCGUGUCUCUCUCUCUCUAACUGCCCCCCUCCCAUCGUCUUGGCUUGUAGGUCACCUCCGUGUCUCCCGCCAGUCCACGACAUAGCUUGCAAUCUAGGUUGUUGCCAAGUUAACUUAGGAUGGUAACCUACAAUGUACAACCCAAGAGAUCGAUAGUGUUUAUUAUACUGUCAUGCCUCUACUUCUCUGUUGUAUAUAUAGUUGCUUGUAUAUCUAAUUGGAUUGUUCAGAUUAGAUACUUCUCUAUGAAAUUACUAAUACAUGAAUUUUGUUUCUUCAGUUCUCUAUGAAAUCCAUGUGAUACUUCCACUAAUAGAAAACAGGGCUUUGGUCACAGGGCAAUAUUCACAUUAGUCCCGGUUCAAUCACGAACCGGGACUAAACCGAGACUAAUGUGAGCAUUGGUCCCGGUUCGUGCGGCUAAGGCAUUAGUCCCGGUUUGAGACACGAACCGAGACUAAAGGGUGUGAUGCACUUUAGUCCCGGUUUGUGUCUCAAACCGGGACUAAAGAUCUAAUCUUUAGUCCCGGUUACGGCCUGUUUGCAAAUUUUUAGAAUCCUCAAAUUCUAAAAGGAAAAAAAAGUUAUGCUCAAUUUUUUUCAGUUUUUUUUGUAUUUUCGUUAAAUCUGGUCAAACUACUUAUUCAAGAAGUAUUAGUGUUAUUAAAUAAUUAUUCAAGAAUAUUGGUGUUACUAAAUAAUUAUUUCGGUUUUUUUUUUGAUUUUUUGUCAAAUCUGGUCAAAUUGUGGUCCAACAAUGGUCAAACUACUUAUUCAAGAAAUAUAGUGUUACUAAAUUAUUAUUUUGGUUUUUUGAAUUCUGGUCAAAUUUGGUCAAACUAUUUAUUCAAGAAAUAUUAGUAUUACUAAAUAAUUAUUGUUUUGUACAAUAAUAGUUUCAAACUCAAACAGUGAAAUGUGUGACUUCAUGCUCAAGCUAAACUCUCGAGGGUUAAUAGGAUUGACAUCUUACUAUCGUCAGGAAAACAACAAGUGCAGACUUGGAAACGAAGGAGAAUAGAACCCGAAAGUUAAGCGUGCUCGGGUUGAAGUAGUGAGAGGGAUGGGUGACCGGUCGGGAAGUUAGAUGAUUUGGAAUAAUGAGGGGUGAUUAGAGAUUAGAGAUUAAAUUGAGCAGUGAUGAGGGGUGGGUGAUUAGAGAUUAAAUUAUAAAAUAAUUCAGAAAUUUGAAAAUCAAGAAAAAAUUCAAAAAAAAAUACCUUUAGUCCCGGUUGGUAACAUCAACCGGGACUAAAGGUGGGUUCGUGUAAGAACCGGGACUAAAAGGGGGGGCUUUAGUAACGACCCUUUAGUUCCGGUUCGAAAACCGGGACUAAAGGCCCUUAUGAACCGGGACUAAUGACCCUUUUUCUACUAGUGUUCUCUGUUGUAUACAUGGCAUGACAGUAUAAUUUCAUAGAGAAGCUCACAAAAUUUAAUGCUUCUGAUGUCAAAUUUAGAUUAAAUUUAUUAACUAGCUCAUUCAGGUAUUACAUCGGAAAACAACAUUUGUUUUCUAGAUUCAGUGUUUUCUGUAAAAGUAGUCAGAUGGUGAUCAUAGUGAAACAUUGCAUUUUUUAUACAAGUUGCUGGUACAAUCUGCACCUGGCAAAUAAAUUUGAAUCACUACCUAUUUUAUCAGGUAAAAACACCAGCAUGUUGUUUGAGGUGCAUGUAUCGGUUGUAGCGAAGUUGUACGUAUAACGAUGCAUUGCUAACCAUGGAGCACUCCAAGUCUUGAGGAUAUGUACGGCAACUUACAGACUUACACAUUGCCAUUGGCUCCUAUCACCAUGCAAGUGGUCGAUGCUUUAGUGUUGAACUAUUGAUUAAUCCCUCUUUUAUCUUUAAUCUAUGUGAUGGUGCCCCUUACCAUAUAUACUUGUUACGCGGAUUCAAUUGAAUGAUGUAUUCGGCAUGCUUGAUAGUUAUAAAACAAAUGUCAAACGAUAGCUAUUGCUAUUAUGGAGACGCUUUGAACUAUUGUUCAUCUGCUAUUUAAUGUUUGAUGCUCCUUCAUUAUUUGUAUAUAGAAGGGCUAAAGCUCCAAUCAUACAUGUUUGCUCAAACCUAAAGCUCCUAACUAAUGAAAAUAUUCUGAAAGCAAUCAUGAUUUUAAAGAUACAUAUAUUUUUAAAAGCCAAUGUAUAUUUUUCUCAAACACAAAGUCAUUGAAAAAUGCAAAUGUUUCAAUGCGAACAUGAUUUCAAGUGGGUCUCUGCGGACAUGAUAGCAAGUAUUUUGUGCUAUCAAAUUAAAAUAUGUAUAUGCAUCUCAUUAUAGAGAACAAUCCAACAUGCUACCUAUUAGAGAGGAUUAAACCAUGGAUAUUUUUUUCAUCGCGCACAUGAAUUUAGCAUGCCUCUGCGUCAUUUGGCGUAACGGGUCCACUAGUACAAUUGAAAGCACGAGUUGUACGUACGUACGUGCAUGCAAUGCAGUUCAAAUGGAGCAGCCUAGCAAAGCAGUCCACGGGAACGGGAUGUGGAUGUACUUCCAUUUCCAUUUUCAGCCCGUCAUGCACCUGUGGAAAUUAGUCCAUUGUGUAACCUUGAAUGUAACAACCCUGAUUGAUGAAUGAAAAGUUUUAUUUUCGCAAAAAAAAAAAAGAACAGACAGUACCCGCAAAAAAAAAGAUUAACACGCGCAAAAAAAAAAAGAACAGUCAGUACGCAUGUUAUCACGUCCGCUCGGCGGAAGAACACGAAGGCCCGUUACGCUCGUCCACUAAUUUGGGCCACAGCGAGAGAGAUACAGCCGACUGCUUUCGGCCCACCCCGCGUCCGAUGGCUCCCGGCUGGACAGCGGGGGGAGUAGUAAAACAGACGCUAGUUUGUUUAGUCCCACAUCGGCUAGCGAGAAAACGACGAACCUGUUUAUAAGCGUGAGCGCGGCAGCUGCAUCGUCCCUUCGGGGACAUCCGAUAAAAUUGGAACGAUACAGAGAAGAUUAGCAUGGCCCCUGCGCAAGGAUGACACGCACAAAUCGAGAAAUGGUCCAAAUUUUUCGAGAUUUCGCGCGCAGGUCCCUGGAGGUCUUCUUUUAUGCCCCUCGCAUGUAGUGCGCUUCUUACAGAAAGGGCCUCGAUGUUUUCAUUCUCUGCCAGAAGUGCCCUCACGACUGCCGUUCUUAACUUGAAGCCACCGGCCUAUCCUCAUGCGUACUGCUCUUCUCUCUUACAGAAAGGUCCUUGGGUUUCUCAAAACUGCCAUUUCAAACUUGGAGCCACAUGCCUUCAAUUAUUUGAUAUUGCAGAUACGCCCGCCCUGUAUAUGUAAUAACGUUUUGAACCUUCAAAUCUCCACAAGCACAAUAAUGAAAUCAUUACAAUGUCUAAUACAAAGAUUACCAUUUGAUCUUGCUGGAAAUUCCAAAGGCUUGAGAAAGUUAUUGUCUGCACUUAAUCAGUUAUUAGCCUUGAUGAAAUCAGGACCUAUCUAUCUGACCCCUACAAGGUCUAGAGACAGAUUUUUUUAUUUUUUUUGAGGGAAGGUCUAGAGACAGAUGAUAUUUGAUCAAGGCAACCCAGCACUCAUCAUUCUUCUAAAGUAAUCCAACCGACGCAACAUCGUUAUGCAACAAGGCAACUGAUCUCUUCCUAAUGUGCAGUAGUUUACUUCUUUUCACUCAUGCUGCUGUGCUGAGUAAUGCAUUGUACGAGUAGCAGUAGCUGGUUGCUGUGCUGUGAGUGAUGCCCUCACGGUGGCUUAUUUCAUUUAUCUGAUAACCUUCAAAACCAACAGGCUAGUCUAGCCCGGGUUGGUCUCGUUUUUCUUUUAUAUAACCUUCAAAACAUAUACAGACACGCAGCAGCACCGUGUCACAUUGAAGCGAGAAAAAAACGACGGUGUUUUUUCAGAAAGAAAAAAAGCCGAACCAUGUAUUCACAUAGGUCAGAGCCAGCAGUCAAAAAGAGAGCAGGAUUUGAAGAGAGCUAUAUUUGAGUUCUUGUCAGGAUCAGGCGCAGUACACUACAUCUUAGCAGUUGCUAGCACCAUCAAGGCCAGCCAAGGCACAUUGCCACAUUCCUUCCUGCCGGUCUCUAUGCAGGCCAAAGAAUCAAACCACAUGCCCAGACUUGUGCCGACACGCGCCGACGCUCUCAUCACGCCGCCUCGCCUCCGAUGUUUAACACAUCCUGGGGUGGGGGGCCGACGCCAGCUGGCAGCUUCCCGGACCCCUCUGUACAUCUCAUCAGGAACCUGCAAGCAUAAGACGGAACCCCGUUACAGAAUAGACGACUUGGCGAGCAUGUCCUGAAACAGGCCAGACUCUUCACGUGUGCCAGGGAGGAAGAACGCCUCCUGAUCAAGCAGACAGAGUUUCCUCCUAAUAAUUCUCAAAAGCAGGUGCUUUUAUAUAUGAAAAAACUGAAAGCUGCAUCACUG